rnacentral:rRNA from 1 species
AAGUCGUAACAAGGUUUCCGUAGGUGAACCUGCGGAAGGAUCAUUAUAGAGAUUGGUUGGGUAACACCUUCCAAACCUCCCACCCUAUGUUUACAUUACCUUUGUUGCUUUGGUAGGCCCGUCUUCGGACCGCCGGCUUCGGCUGGCCAGUGCCUACCAGAGGAUCCAAAACUCUGUUUAAUUGUAUUGUCUGAGUACUAUAUAAUAGUUAAAACUUUCAACAACGGAUCUCUUGGUUCUGGCAUCGAUGAAGAACGCAGCGAAAUGCGAUAAGUAAUGUGAAUUGCAGAAUUCAGUGAAUCAUCGAAUCUUUGAACGCACAUUGCGCCCCUUGGUAUUCCGGGGGGCAUGCCUGUUCGAGCGUCAUUUCAACCCUCACGCGUAGCGUGGUCUUGGGCUCUGCCGGCAACGGCUUGCCUUAAAAUCAGUGGCGGUGCCAUCGAGCUCUACGCGUAGUAAUAAACCCCUCGCGUGUGAGUCUCGGCGGUCGCUUGCCAGCAACCCCCAAUUUUUUAUGGUUGACCUCGAAUCAGGUAGGGAUACCCGCUGAACUUAA